rnacentral:SRP_RNA from 1 species
UGAGGCAGGAGAAUUGCUUGAACCUGGGAGGCAGAGGUUGCAGUGAGCCGAGAUCGUGCCAUUGCACUCCAGCCUGGGCAACGAGAGUGAAACUCCAUCUCAAAAAAAUAUAUAUAUAUAUAUAUUUGGUGGCUGUUUUUUUUGUUUUUUGUUUUUUUUUUGAGACAAAGUCUCACUCUGUCACCCAGGCUGAAGGUGCAGUCUUGGCUCACUGCAACCUGCGCCUCCCAGAUUCAAGCAAUUCUCCUGCCUCAGCCUCCCAAGUAACUGGGAUUACAGGCACGCACCACCGCGCCUGGC